AUCCUCGCCCGGCGCCUCACUCACCAAGGGCCGCGCCGGGGUUCUGCACUGUCACUGCGCUGCGGUUCCCCGCCUUACGGAUUCUCACACGGUUCCACAGCUCCGGGCCCGGCGGCACCGCAGCCAUCUUGCGAGGCGGGGGGACUUAAGAAAGGCGGAGCUACGCGAGAGCAAGUCCAGCGACCGGAGGUGCCGUGUUUUGGAGUAGUGUGUCCUGUACCUGUCACCUUUAACAAACAAUUACUGAGCACCUACUGGGUGCCAGAUACUCCGCCAGGCUCUGAGAGGACAGAAAUGCAUAAGACACAAUUCCUGCUCUCAAGGAGGCCUUUCAAAAAGAAGAAAGUAGCAAAAAUUCACACAUUUCCCCCAUUCCAAAUGACAUCUGAAGAAAGGAAAAGAAAAAGACACUUAUUGAGCACCUGCUGUGAGAAGCACUGUGCUAUUUGCUGGGAAACAUGCUGAGAUUUCUAAAAAGUGGGCCUUUAUUUCUCCCCCUUCAGAAGCUUUCCAUCCAGUGGGGGCACUAUCUGAUCAUUCAUUAAAGCACACACGGGUCACCCACAAUGAAAGAUAUUGUGGGAUAAAUGCUUUGGGAAUGGUACCGAAGACAGGUGCUGUAAGAACCCAGAGGAGUAUGUGUUCACUUCGGGCUUAAAAGACAUCAAAGAAGAUCAGUGGAGGAGGGAGUGGUGUGCUAGAAAUCAUACAGCAAAUAUCCAGUGGCAAGAAAAGGCACAGCAUAUUGGGAGUUUCAAGAAGACUGGUUUCCCUGGAGAGGAUUCUCAUGGAGAAGAAUCCUAUGUUUUGAUGGACAUGAGAAUAGACAAAGAAUUGGGAGAGCAGGAGGCCCUGCCAGAGGAAGGCCUGUCUAAAUCCACAUACCAGUGCAAGCUGUCUUCGGCUGUCCUACGUACUAAGGGACAUAGCUCAGCACAACCAAUCCCUGUGAUGCAUCAGCCACUGCAUCCGUAAACCAGUGACCACUUCUGAAGCAGCAGAAGUUAUUUUGCUGCAAAUCUAUCUCCAGGAUCCAAAAUGUGUUUAAUCGGGGUGAGCCAUUAACUGAAUUAAAUGAGACAUAUGUUUACCAGCAGGUGGCAAUAGAGGUAAUGGUGUCUCCCAUAACGUUAAACUUGCAUUAUUUUAUACGCCAGAAAUGGGAAUCUUCAAAACUUGAUUGGGUCCCAACUUAACUUCACUCUAUCUUACAUUUGCAUUCUGAGAUGAAAUUAUUCAAGCCAAGAUAUUGUAACCAGAAACAUAAAUUUUUCUUUUAUUAAGCUGAUAUUGUGCUUCAUUUUCUAAGGGUGGCUCCUCCAGGAGCUUGAUAUUUUUAAUUGAAAAAUUGGAAAAAUAAAACAUUAUUUAUAGCCUCA